rnacentral:rRNA from 1 species
UACGGAAGGUGCAAGCGUUAUCCGGAAUCACUGGGUUUAAAGGGUGCGUAGGCGGUUGCGUAAGUCAGAAGUGAAAGCUCACAGCUUAACUGUGGAAUUGCUUUUGAUACUGCGCGACUAGAAUCAGGUUGAGGUUGGCGGAAUGUGACAUGUAGCGGUGAAAUGCAUAGAUAUGUCAUAGAACACCAAUUGCGAAGGCAGCUGACUGGACCUGUAUUGACGCUGAGGCACGAAAGCGUGGGGAGCGAAAGGG